CGAUGCAACGCGAAGAACCUUACCAAGGCUUGACAUGCCAGAAGUAGGAACUCGAAAGAGAGACCACCUGUAUCCAGUCAGGAACUGGCACAGGUGCUGCAUGGCUGUCGUCAGCUCGUGCCGUGAGGUGUUAGGUUAAGUCCUGCAACGAGCGCAACCCUCGUCGCUAGUAAAUUUUCUAGCGAUACUGCCCGUAAAACGAGGAGGAAGGUGGGAUGACGUCAAGUCAGCAUGGCCCUUACGCCUUGGGCUACACACACGCUACAAUGGGUGAUACAACGGGUUGCGAAAGAGCGAUCUGGAGCUAAUCCCUAAAAUCAUCCUCAGUUCGGAUUGCAGGCUGAAACUGCCUGCAUGAAGUUGGAGUUGCUAGUAACCGCAGGUCAGCACACUGCGGUGAAUACGUUCUCGGGCCUU
rnacentral:rRNA from 1 species